rnacentral:rRNA from 1 species
AACGAACGCUGGCGGCAGGCUUAACACAUGCAAGUCGAGCGCCCCGCAAGGGGAGCGGCAGACGGGUGAGUAACGCGUGGGAAUCUACCCAUCUCUACGGAAUAACGCACGGAAACGUGUGCUAAUACCGUAUACGUCCUUCGGGAGAGAGAUUUAUCGGAGAUGGAUGAGCCCGCGUUUGAUUAGCUAGUUGGUGGGGUAAAGGCCUACCAAGGCGACGAUCCAUAGCUGGUCUGAGAAGAUGAUCAGCCACACUGGGACUGAGACACGGCCGUGAGUGCUACGAGAGGCAGCUGUGCAGAGUUUUCCACAAUGGGCGGAAGCCUGACCCGGCAAUGCCGAGCGAGUGAUGAAGGCCCUGGGUUUGUAAAGUUCUUUCGCCGUUGAAGUUAAUGACGGUAACCGUAGAAGAAGCCCCGGCUAUCUUCGUGCCAGCCGCCGCCGUAUAAC